UGAAUUGCACACCUCUUUCCUUCAGUUGACAUCUUGACCUGUAGCAGCGGAGGCAUUGAUGUCAUCCAUGCCCUGUACACGUUUGCUACUGCUGAUUGCGAUUACAGGCUGAGGAACACUAAUUGGAAGGUCAAUGUGCUCUGGAACAACAAUACGUGGGCGGAUUCGGAGACCAACGAGCACAGCACCGCUGCUGGCAGCUUCACCUUGGACAGCCUGGAGCCCUACUCGCAGGUGAAGGUGUGCAUGAGCGUGCCUGGCAGGGAAGACGAGGAGGCGUGUUGCUCCGCCACCACAGAGGAAGAUGUUCCCGACAAGCCGAGUGAAGUGAGCGUAUCCAACGUGACGAACACAACUGCUCGCAUCUCAUGGACGAGGCCACUUCAUGUCAACGGAGACAUCAAGUCAUGGCAAGUGAGUCUACG
rnacentral:lncRNA from 1 species